GUUACAUUGACAACAAUGUGUUAACCCUUGAGGGCUCAGCCAAGUGCUAGUUCAUCAUUUUGCAGCAAGGUAUUCCCUGGAAAAUAUCCCAUCCUCUUCUACCCUCUGACUCCUCCAGCUCAACCAAGCUUCACUAUCAUCAUUGCUGCGUACAGUAUUAAAUUGUUUGUCUAAAACUUAUACUGUGUGUGUGUGUGUGUGUGUGUGUGUACUAUAUAUAGUCUAUAUAUAGUCUUUUGUCUGG